ACAAAUGAAACAUGUCAAAAACUCUUUACAUAAAAAAUUCCUAAAUUUUAGAGGGUUCCAGUUGAAUUAAAUGAUCAUGUAGGUAUGUAUUUUUCGUAUUUUUUGAAAUUUUCCUCCGUUUGAAUAUUUGCUGGCAACGCAUUGAAGAAUCUUAGGCAUAUAUCUUCUAGUUUUUUCGUUUCAAAAGGCUUACGUUGGAGUUCUGCCAAAGAAUUGAAGAUUUCAUUCAAUCCUUCGAUUUCCUGGAUAUUUGUCAGUAAUCACAAAAAUAAUUAUUUUAUUGUCAAUCUUCAAAUGAAAUGUUUCCUUCUUUAAUAUUUAAGUGGUACAAUACGAUAUAUAUAAUUUGAUUCAAUUAUUUCAUUAAUUUCUGUUCACAAAUAUCAAUUUGUAUAAUUAUGUGCAAUAAAAAGUAUG